rnacentral:rRNA from 1 species
AGCGAACGCAGGCGGCAGGCCUAACACGUGCAAGUCGAACGGACCCUUCGGGGUUAGUGGCGGACGGGUGAGUAACACGUGGGAACGUGCCUUUAGGUUCGGAAUAGCUCCUGGAACCGGGUGGUAAUGCCGAAUGUGCCCUUCGGGGGAAAGAUUUAUCGCCUUUAGAGCGGCCCGCGUCUGAUUAGCUAGUUGGUGAGGUAAUGGCUCACCAAGGCGACGAUCAGUAGCUGGUCUGAGAGGAUGACCAGCCACAUUGGGACUGAGACACGGCCCAAACUCCUACGGGAGGCAGCAGUGGGGAAUCUUGCGCAAUGGGCGAGAGCCUGACGCAGCCAUGCCGCGUGGAUGAUGAAGGUCUUAGGAUUGUAAAAUCCUUUCACCGGUGAAGAUAAUGACGGUAACCGGAGAAGAAGCCCCGGCUAACUUCGUGCCAGCCGCCGCGGUAAAAC